AACGAACGCUGGCGGCAGGCUUAACACAUGCAAGUCGAACGAGCUGGGGGCUUCGGUCUCCGCUUCUAGUGGCGCACUGGUGAGUAACACGUGGGAAUAUGCCCUUUAGUACGUAAUAACCAAGUGAAACUUUGGCUAAUACCGUAUACGCCCUUCGGGGGUAAGAUUUAUCGCUAAAGGAUUUGCCCGCGUCUGAUUAGGUAGCUGGUGAGGUAAUGGCUCACCAAGGCGACGAUCAGUAGCUUGUCUGAGAGGAUGAUCAGACACACUGGGACUGAGACACGGCCCAGAAUACUACGGGAGGCAGGAGUGGGGAAUAUUGGACAAUGGGGGCAAUCCUGAUCCAGCCAUGCCGCGUGAGUGAAGAAGGCCUUCGGGUUGUAAAGCUCUUUCGACGGGGACGAUGAUGACGGUACCCGUAGAAGAAGCCCCGGCAAACUUCGUG
rnacentral:rRNA from 1 species